rnacentral:rRNA from 1 species
UGCGUAGGCGGCGGCACAAGUCAGGUGUGAAAUCCCCCGGCUCAACCGGGGAACAGCGCUUGAAACUAGGUCGCUCGAGUGAGGUAGGGGUGCAUGGAACUUCCGGUGGAGCGGUGAAAUGUGUAGAUAUCGGAAGGAACGCCGGCGGCGAAAGCGGUGCACUGGGCCUUGUCUGACGCUGAGGCACGAAAGCUAGGGAAGUGAACG